AUUGAACGCUGGCGGCAGGCUUAACACAUGCAAGUCGAGCGGGGGAAGGUAGCUUGCUACCGGACCUAGCGGCGGACGGGUGAGUAAUGCUUAGGAAUCUGCCUAUUAGUGGGGGACAACAUCUCGAAAGGGAUGCUAAUACCGCAUACGUCCUACGGGAGAAAGCAGGGGAUCUUCGGACCUUGCGCUAAUAGAUGAGCCUAAGUCGGAUUAGCAAGUUGGUGGGGUAAAGGCCUACCAAGGCGACGAUCUGUAGCGGGUCUGAGAGGAUGAUCCGCCACACUGGGACUGGAACACGGCCCAGACUCCUACGGGAGGCAGCAGUGGGGAAUAUUGGACAAUGGGGGGAACCCUGAUCCAGCCAUGCCGCGUGUGUGAAGAAGGCCUUAUGGUUGUAAAGCACUUUAAGCGAGGAGGAGGCUACUCUAGUUAAUACCUAGGGAUAGUGGACGUUACUCGCAGAAUAAGCACCGGCUAACUCUGUGCCAGCCGCCGCCGUAA
rnacentral:rRNA from 1 species